GAUGAACGCUAGCUACAGGCUUAACACAUGCAAGUCGAGGGGCAGCAGGGAUUUAGCUUGCUAAAUCCGCUGGCGACCGGCGCACGGGUGCGUAACGCGUAUCCAACUUUCCCGUUACUCAGGGAUAGCCUUCCGAAAGGGAGAUUAAUACCUGAUGGUGUUUGAAAUUCGCAUGUUCUUCAAACUAAAGAUUUAUCGGUAACGGAUAGGGAUGCGUGACAUUAGAUAGUAGGCGGGGUAACGGCCCACCUAGUCUACGAUGUCUAGGGGUUCUGAGAGGAAGGUCCCCCACACUGGAACUGAGACACGGUCCAGACUCCUACGGGAGGCAGCAGUGAGGAAUAUUGGUCAAUGGUCGGAAGACUGAACCAGCCAAGUAGCGUGAAGGAUGAAGGUUCUAUGGAUUGUAAACUUCUUUUAAUAUAGGAAUAAAACCUCCAACGUUGUGGGAGCUUGUAUGUACUAUAUGAAUAGCAUCGGCUAACUCCGUGCCAGCAGCCGCGGU
rnacentral:rRNA from 1 species